GCCCUGGUAGCUCAGUUGGUAGAGCGCCUGUCUUGUAAACAGGAGGUCGAGGGUCCAAAUCCCUCUCAGGGCU
rnacentral:tRNA from 1 species